CUUAUACUCUCUCCGUCCGGAAAUACUUGUUAUAAGAAUGGAUGUAUCUAGAUGUANUUUAGUUCUAGAUACAUUCAUUUUUUUCAUUUGUGCGACAGGUAAUUUUGAACGAAGGAAAUACUAG
rnacentral:pre_miRNA from 1 species